GACGAACGCUGGCGGCGUGCCUAAUGCAUGCGAGUCGAGCGAAGUUUUUCUGGUGCUUGCACUAGAAAAACUUAGCGGCGAACGGGUGAGUAACACGUAAAGAACCUGCCUCAUAGACUGGGACAACUAUUGGAAACGAUAGCUAAUACCGGAUAACAGUAUUUCUCGCAUGAGAGAUAUUUAAAAGUUGGUUAUGCUAACACUAUGAGAUGGCUUUGCGGUGCAUUAGCUAGUUGGUGGGGUAAAGGCCCACCAAGGCGACGAUGCAUAGCCGACCUGAGAGGGUGAUCGGCCACACUGGGACUGAGACACGGCCCAGACUCCUACGGGAGGCAGCAGUAGGGAAUCUUCCGCAAUGGGCGAAAGCCUGACGGAGCAACGCCGCGUGAGUGAAGAAGGAUUUCGGUUCGUAAAGCUCUGUUGUUAGGGAAGAAUGGAUAUGUAGUAACUAUACAUGUAAGAGACGGUACCUAACCAGAAAGCCACGGCUAACUACGUG
rnacentral:rRNA from 1 species